UACGGGGGGGGGCAAGCGUUGUUCGGAAUUACUGGGCGUAAAGGGCUCGUAGGCGGCCAACUAAGUCAGACGUGAAAUCCCUCGGCUUAACCGGGGGAACUGCAUCUGAUACUGGAUGGCUUGAGAUUGGGAGAGGGAUGCGGAAUUCCCGGUGUAGUGGUGAAAUGCGUAGAUAUCGGGAGGAACACCAGUGGCGAAGGCGACUUCCUGGCCUGUUCUUGACGCUGAGGCGCGAAAGCUAGGGGAGCAAACGGGGAUUAAGAA
rnacentral:rRNA from 1 species